AGAGUUUGAUCCUGGCUCAGAAUCAACGCUGGCGGCGUGCCUAACACAUGCAAGUCGCACGAGAAAGGGUAGCAAUACCUGAGUACAGUGGCGCACGGGUGAGUAACACGUGAAUAAUCUACCUCCGAGUGGGGAAUAACUUAGGGAAACCUGAGCUAAUACCGCAUAACACUUACGAGUCAAAGCAGCAAUGCGCUUGGAGAGGAGUUCGCGGCAGAUUAGUUAGUUGGCGGGGUAAUGGCCCACCAAGACAAUGAUCUGUAUCCGGCCUGAGAGGGCGCACGGACACACUGGAACUGAAACACGGUCCAGACUCCUACGGGAGGCAGCAGUGGGGAAUUUUGCGCAAUGGGGGAAACCCUGACGCAGCAACGCCGCGUGGAGGAUGAAAUCCCUUGGGAUGUAAACUCCUUUCGAUCGGGACGAUUAUGACGGUACCGGAAGAAGAAGCCCCGGCUAACUUCGUGCCAGCAGCCGCGGUAAUACGAGGGGGGCGAGCGUUGUUCGGAAUUAUUGGGCGUAAAGGGUGCGUAGGCGGUUUGAUAAGUCUGAUGUGAAAUCUAUGGGCUCAACCCAUAGUCUGCAUUAGAAACUGUCGGGCUUGAGAAUGGGAGAGGUGAGUGGAAUUUCCGGUGUAGCGGUGAAAUGCGUAGAUAUCGGAAGGAACACCUGUGGCGAAAGCGGCUCACUGGACCAUUUCUGACGCUGAUGCACGAAAGCUAGGGGAGCAAACAGGAUUAGAUACCCCGGUAGUCC
rnacentral:rRNA from 1 species